rnacentral:rRNA from 1 species
GACGAACGCUGGCGGCGUGCCUAAUACAUGCAAGUCGAGCGAACAGACCAGAGUGCUUGCCCUCCCUGACGUUAGCGGCGGACGGGCGAGUAACACGUGGGUAACCUACCUAUAAGACUGGGAUUACUUCGGGAAACUGGCGCUAAUCCCGGAUAAUAUUUAGCUUCGCAUGACGCACUAGGGAUAGACGGUUUUGCUGUCAAUUAUCGUUGGAACCGCGUUGUAUUAGCCAGUUGGUGAAGGAAGUGCUGACGAAGGCAAGGAUAGAUAGCCGACAUGAGGGCGUGGUCGGCCAGACGGGCAGAGAGGCUGGGCCCAGACUCCGGCGGGAGGCAACAGUAGGGAAUCUUCCGCGAGGGACGAAAGGCUGACAGAGCAAAGCCGGGUGAGUGAAGAAGGUGUUCGGAUCGGAAAACUCUGUUGGAAGGGAGGAACAAGUACGUUAUUAACUGAACGUACCUUGACGGUACCGGGCCAGAAAGCCACGGCUAACUACGUG